CCCUUAGAUGUCCGGGGCCGCACGCGCGCUACACUGAAGGAAUCAGCGUGGCUUUCUCCCUGACCCGAAAGGGUUGGGAAACCCGUUGAAUCACCUUCGUGAUAGGGAUUGGGGCUUGAAAUUGUUCCCCAUGAACGAGGAAUUCCCAGUAAGCGCGAGUCAUAAGCUCGCGUUGAUUACGUCCCUGCCCUUUGUACACACCGCCCGUCGCUACUACCGAUUGAACGGUUUAGUGAGGGCCUCGGAUUGGUCUCGGCCCGCUCUUUACCGGGCGGCGCCGUUGGUCGAGAAGACGCUCGAACUUGAUCGUUUAGAGGAAGUAAAAGUCGUAACA
rnacentral:rRNA from 1 species